CAAGGGCGCAUCGCGCUCAUGACCACUGGUGCCAUCGCCCUCUGACCCCAAAUCCCCAAGUGGAACAUUCGUGCUGGAAACAGCAAGAUGCCCCCCAUUUGCAGUGACUGUCGUUGAAUUUCAACAACAGCCCGGCCUCCGAUGCGCGACCGGUGAGGAGGAGGACCCCCCCGCCAACUGUUGACAGAACUGCUCGUCAUAUUUCCACCAUCCCAGACUGCCAUAGGUACGACAAGC